rnacentral:rRNA from 1 species
CCUACGGGCGGCAGCAGUAGGGAAUUUUCGGCAAUGGGGGGAACCCUGACCGAGCAACGCCGCGUGAACGAAGAAGGUAUUCGUAAUGUAAAGUUCUUUUAACAGGGAAGAAAGAGAAAUUUGACGGUACCUGCAAAGGAAGCACCGGCUAACUACGUGCCAGCAGCCGCGGUAAUACGGAGGGUGCGAGCGUUAAUCGGAAUUACUGGGCGUAAAGCGAUCGUAGGCGGUAUGUCAAGUCAAGGGUGAAAUCCCCGCGCUCAACGUGGGAACUGCCUUUGAAACUGGCAAACUGGAGUGUGUGAGAGGAUAGUGGAAUUGCAGGUGUAGGAGUGAAAUCCGUAGAUAUCUGGAGGAACAUCAGUGGCGAAGGCGACUAUCUGGCACAUAACUGACGCUGAGGAGCGAAAGCGUGGGUAGCAAACAGGAUUAGAUACCCUUGUAGUC